rfam:Myotis lucifugus cont2.26424, whole genome shotgun sequence.
GUUCUCACCUCGGCAGCAUGUAUACUAAAAUUGUGACCAUACAGAGAAGAUUAGCAUGGCCCCUGAAAAUUUAUGAAGCGUUUCAUUUUUUUAAGUAUAUUAAUUUUUU